GCACGCUUAGCUCAGCUGGUAGAGCACUCGACUGAUACUCGAGCGGUCCUAGGUUCGAAUCCUAGAGCGUGCACCA
rnacentral:tRNA from 1 species